rnacentral:tRNA from 1 species
GGCUCGGUAGCUUAGAUAGUAAAAGCACUCGUCUGGCAUACAAGAGUCGUGGGUUCGAAUCUCACCUGAGCAC